GAUGAACGCUGGCGGCGUGCCUAAUACAUGCAAGUCGAGCGAACAGAUGAGGAGCUUGCUCCUCUGACGUUAGCGGCGGACGGGUGAGUAACACGUGGAUAACCUACCUAUAAGACUGGGAUAACUUCGGGAAACCGGAGCUAAUACCGGAUAAUAUAUUGAACCGCAUGGUUCAAUAGUGAAAGACGGUUUUGCUGUCACUUAUAGAUGGAUCCGCGCCGCAUUAGCUAGUUGGUAAGGUAACGGCUUACCAAGGCAACGAUGCGUAGCCGACCUGAGAGGGUGAUCGGCCACACUGGAACGGAGACACGGUCCAGACUCCUACGGGAGGCAGCAGUAGGGAAUCUUCCGCAAUGGGCGAAAGCCUGACGGAGCAACGCCGCGUGAGUGAUGAAGGUCUUCGGAUCGUAAAACUCUGUUAUUAGGGAAGAACAAAUGUGUAAGUAAAUAUGCACGUCUUGACGGUACCUAAUCAGAAAGCCACGGCUAACUACGUG
rnacentral:rRNA from 1 species